UGUCACUCCGAGCUUGUGUCCGCGUCCAUCAUUCUAUCCUGCCGCCUUGCCAGCAAUUUCCCUGAUACAAGUUCAGUCAGGUCUGGUAUCACCCUGAGCGGCAUCUGUGGAAUGUGGAAUCGUCUCCGAAUUCUCAGUGCGCGUUCGAACACUGUUCCGAACCCAGCUCCGUUCGAACAGUUUGAUCAAGCCGUGUGGCAAGGGAAGGAACAAGACGAGCAUCAGCGCCCCCGUCACGUUUAUCAUCUCCUGCAGGGACUCUGGCGCCGCGUGGCUGUCAGGUGCGGCGUGAUCGAAGCUUGCCAUCACCACCACCACCACCACCACUG